rnacentral:tRNA from 1 species
GCCCUGGUGGCUCAGAUGGUAAAGCGUCUGUCUACAAUGCAGGAAACCCAGGUUCGAUCCCUGGGUUGGGAA